CAAGACACCUAGACAGUUAAUAUUUAAGGCCGCUAGAAAGUGGUAACUGGCCCAAUAAAAAGGCAAAGGAAAGUCCAAGGCCACCUCUGAGCUGCGCCUAAAAGGACAGAAGAAGAGAGCCUUCAUGCAACGCUCAAAGGGAUCUCUGACUCCGAAAAGGUUAAGAAUCACUCGGGAUGAUAUGAAGAUCAAUUUGUCUAAAUCUGCAUUCAUAAUGUCCUCAGAACUACACCAAUAUCACCUUGAGAAUAAAUGUCUUUGUGCCAUUCAUAUGCAAAGACUGAUCAGAAUAUGGCUAGAUCAAUAGAACCUGCCCUGGAAACUUUCAUUCCCCCUGGCCCUGGGGCUUUGAGUGAUCUGGAAUAGGGAAAUGCAGCAGCAAGUCCUUCUGACUGGUUUUAGUGUAUGAGCUAGAACCGAAGGCAGUCUUUGA